UACGGAGGGAGCAAGCGUUACUCGGAAUUACUGGGCGUAAAGCGUGCGCAGGCGGCUAUUUAAGCUUGCUGUGAAAGCCCCGGGCUUAACCUGGGAACUGCAGUGAGGACUGGAUGGCUGGAGUGUGGCAGAGGGGGGUGGAAUUCCACGUGUAGCAGUGAAAUGCGUAGAGAUGUGGAGGAACACCGAUGGCGAAGGCAGCCCCCUGGGCUAACACUGACGCUCAGGCACGAAAGCGUGGGGAGCAAACAGG
rnacentral:rRNA from 1 species